rnacentral:rRNA from 1 species
AACGCACCUUGCGCUCCUUGGUAUUCCGAGGAGCAUGCCCGUUUGAGUGUCGUGAUAUCAUCAGGCCGACCCCCUCCUUUGCUGGCGGGGGUUAUGCUUGGACUUGGAUGUGCUGCCGGACGGCGACGCCCGGCUCAUCCCAAAUGCAUUAGCUGGAUUUAAUCCUGGCUUGGACUUUUGUUCUCACUCGGCGUGAUAAUUAUCUACGCUUUGUACUGUCUGUGGAAUAUCUAUGAGUCUAGCUUCUAACUGUCCUCUGGACAAUCUUUCAAUCUUUGACCUCAAAUCAGGUAGGACUACCCGCUGAACUUAA